rnacentral:rRNA from 1 species
AGAGUUUGAUCAUGGCUCAGGAUCAACGCUGGCGGCGUGCCUAAUGCAUGCAAGUCGAGCGCGGACCCCUUCGGGGGUGGGUCAGCGGCGAACGGUCGCGUAACACGUAGGCAACCUGCCCCGAAGCGGGGGACAACGGCCUGAAAGGGCCGCUAAUACCGCAUGUGGCCAUCUCCCCGCCUGGGGGGAUGUCUAAAGGGACUUCGGUCUCACUUCGGGAUGGGCCUGCGGCCUAUCAGCUAGUUGGCGGGGUAACGGCUCACCAAGGCUUCGACGGGUAGCUGGUCUGAGAGGAUGUCCAGCCGGAUUGGGACUGAGAUACGGCCCAGACUCCUACGGGAGGCAGCAGUGGGGAAUAUUGCACAAUGGGCGAAAGCCUGAUGCAGCGACGCCGCGUGAGGGAUGACGGCCUUCGGGUUGUAAACCUCUUUCAGUAGGGAAGAAGCGAAAGUGACGGUACCUGCAGAAGAAGCGCCGGCUAACUACGUGCCAGCAGCCGCGGUAAUACGUAGGGCGCAAGCGUUAUCCGGAAUUAUUGGGCGUAAAGAGCUCGUAGGCGGUUUGUCGCGUCUGCCGUGAAAGUCCGGGGCUCAACUCCGGAUCUGCGGUGGGUACGGGCAGACUAGAGUGAUGUAGGGGAGACUGGAAUUCCUGGUGUAGCGGUGAAAUGCGCAGAUAUCAGGAGGAACACCGAUGGCGAAGGCAGGUCUCUGGGCAUUAACUGACGCUGAGGAGCGAAAGCAUGGGGAGCGAACAGGAUUAGAUACCCCAGUAGUCC